rnacentral:rRNA from 1 species
UACAGAGGUCUCAAGCGUUGUUCGGAUUCAUUGGGCGUAAAGGGUGUGUAGGUGGCGCCGUAAGUCGGGUGUGAAAUUUCGGAGCUUAACUCCGAAACUGCAUUCGAUACUGCUGUGCUUGAGGACUGGAGAGGAGACUGGAAUUUACGGUGUAGCGGUGAAAUGCGUAGAUAUCGUAAGGAAGACCAGUGGCGAAGGCGGGUCUCUGGACAGUUCCUGACGCUGAGGCACGAAGGCCAGGGGAGCAAACGGG